rnacentral:rRNA from 1 species
UACCGGCAGCACGAGUGAUGACCGCUAUUAUUGGGCCUAAAGCGUCCGUAGCUGGCCACGCAAGUUCGUCGGGAAAUCUGCGCGCUUAACGCGCAGGCGUCCGGUGGAAACUGUGUGGCUUGGGACCGGAAGACCAGAGGGGUACGUCCGGGGUAGGAGUGAAAUCCCGUAAUCCUGGACGGACCACCGGUGGCGAAAGCGCCUCUGGAAGACGGAUCCGACGAUGAGGGACGAAAGCUAGGGUCACGAACCGG